AUAGGGAGAAAGGAGCUGGGAACGGAAGAGACGAUUUCCAGGUGAGUGUGGCAGUGGCAGAAGAUCGGCUGGCAACAGGGGUGAUGCUCCUGAUGUUUCCCCAGGGCUUUCCUGCCCACCAAGAGCUCUCCCUAACCUGCAUGUGCACAUCCAGGUUCGAAGUGAGGGGCGGGCUUUGCUUGCCUAAUGCUGGUACUGUUGACCUCCCCAACUCAGAGCAAUCCCAUUACUCUAAGGGGAGAAGACAUUUGGGAGACCCAUCAGCUUCACCCACAGCCACUGGAGGGAAUUCCUUCCUGACCCCUGUGCUGAGGGGGUCAAGAGGCCCAGUAUGGCGGCUGGACAUGGCCUGUCAGGAGUGUGUCCCCCAGUCACACCCUCAAGCCCCUCCCUGGGGCCUCCACCCAGAUGAUACUGAAGGUGUGCCGGCCCCCCAACCUCCUGUCCUCCACCACACACACCCCGAGAGCCUUUCUGCUUUUUAGAAAACCUCUGCUUAAGAAAACAAGAUACAAACUCCCAUGGGCAUGUGCACUAAACAUACUUAUUUAGCAAUUCAAAGCCUGAGGAAAGACACCCUUGAGUUUUCCCCGACUUCCCCUGAGUGUCUUGGGCCUUGCACCACUCUUUCCUAAUUUCAUCUUUAGAAGUGGUAUUUUUUCAAGCUACCUCCAAAGACUGAAUUUAAUGAGCCUGUAUCAUAGACACUUCUGGGACUCCUCCUGGCCCCUUCUUCUAGAAAGGAAACAGGAUCAGGAUCUGGGCCUGCAUCCAGGGCAGGUAGUUUCUCCCAUCCUCCUGCUCUGCUGUCACUGGGGGUGAUGCAAGAAGACAAAACCCAUUGGGCCUGUGGUCCCCUUACUUAAUGAACUGUCAAAGAGACAUGAGACACCGAGGAUAGCAGGAGAACAGAGCAAGUCUGUGGCUGGCCAGUGGAAGGGGCAUGCCAUGCAGAAGCCCCUUGGGAUUGAGUCUAGGCAUUGUCAGCGGGGCUGGCUCGGGCUGAGAAGUGUCCUCCAAGGAGGUGAUGUUUAAACUCCCUCUUGAACUGUGGGUGAGAUGUACCAUGGCAGAGAACAGGUUGGAGGCAUUUCAAGGGAUGAUAAAAUGCCCAGACAGGUUCCUCAGUCUUCCUCUAGGUUUUGGCAGGCCCUUAGAGGGUGAUAGGAGUAAAACCUGGAGGUCUGACUUGAAAGCCCGGUCAUGAUGGAUCAAAAAGUGAGCUUUGUUAAAGGCUUUGGGCUCAGUCUUACCUAGAGACAACCUCUGGUGAUCCCAAGUCAUUAAUCCACCCAGAGGCCCAUCCUGACCUGAGUUCCCUUUCUUUGAAGUGUGCUGUCCUCUUCAGCAUGAGGAAAUAAUUUGCUGCCUGCUUCAAUGAACCAUCAGGAGAGCCAGCAGACCUAAUGACAUGUGAGAAUAUUAACCUCCUACCACGAAGAGCUGUGAAUCUUGAGCGGCAGUCUAUAAUUCACCAAGGACUCCUGAGCCAGACCUCUCCAGCUUUCUCUCUCACUCACUUUCUCACUUACACCCAGAGAGAAAAGGAGAGAUCUGCUCAUAAAACUUUAUAUUCUCCAAUAGUGUGAGCCUUGCUGAGCUGUUUAGUAAUGAGUGACUUUCCUUUCAUAGUCAUGGAGAAAGUAUAGCCCCAGAGGCAGCAAGGAAGGGGGAGUUUUUUUUCUUUCUUUCUUUUUUAUUUUUUAGAUUCUAUUUUAUUCUCUUCCAGGUUUAUUGAUAUAAUUAACAUACAGCACUGGGUAAGUUUAAGGUGGACAGCGAAAAAAGAAAGAAAAGGAAGGAAGGAACAAAGGAAGGAAGGAAAGAAGGGAAGAAAUUGCUUUUCCUUGUGAUAACUCUUAGGAUGUGUUUUCUUAACAGCUUUUGUAUAUAACAUAAAGCAGAGUUAAUUACCUUUAUCACGUCACACAUUACAUCCCCAGGACUUUAUUUAUCUUAUAACUGGAAGUUUGUGCCUUUUCUCCACCUUCAUCCAGUUCUCCCUCCCUCCACCCUCUGGUAACAACAAAUAUGAUUUCUUUUGCUUUGAGUUUCUCUGUUUUUUUUUUUUUUUAAUUUUUAGUUUGUUUUUGAAGUAUAAUUGACUUACAGCACUAUGUUGGCUCCUGGUACACAGCAUAGUGAUUUGAGACUUCUGUAUGCCAUGAAACGAUCGCCAUGAUAAGUCUCAUUCCCAUUUGUCACCAUGCGAAGGGGAGAAUUAUUUUUAGUGUUGCAUUUUGCAAAGGAGCCUUCCCUCUAAUGUGGGGAAAAUGCGCAGUUUCAUGGAGGUGACUGUUAGAACGCUUGGGUAACCACACUUUGUAGUUCUGUACUUUGUCUUAAAAACCAGAGAAAAUGCAGGAUAGUACACUAAUCAGGACAUCUGGUGUUAGAAGGGAUCUUAGAGCUCUUGCCAUCGCUGGAAGGUUGAAGGAGCACAUAAACCUCCUGGGGUUAUGGCUGUGUUUAUUUUUUUGUCUUUGUUUCAUGAGCUUUUGGGUCCCUUGAGGGCACAAUAACGUCUUAACCAGGUCUUUCAUCCUAGGCCUAUCAAAAUGUUUGAUCCAUCAAAGCCUCUGAUAUUAGUCAAAAAUGGAGCAGAUCAUCCACUUCAGCCACAUAUUUUGCGUACAGACACAACCAAAGUCCACAAAGUGAUUUGCUCGUGGACAUAACGACCUGGGCCAAAGUCUGCCUCUCUGGUUAGAAGAUGGCUCCUUUUGGGAGUAGAAUGCCACCUUGGUGUUUUCCCAAGCAGUAUGUUGUUCUCAUGGAGCUGAACUAGUGAGCUCAGGGAAGCCAAGUGCACAUGCAGGGCCAGAAGACCAAAAUCGGGAAGUAAAUAUGGAAGUGGAAAAGUAACUGGGGGAGGGAGGAGUGUGCCCAAGGACGUACAGUGGUGGCUGCCCUGCCGAGACCACCGAGCACAGUAGGAGUUCUUGGACCAGGGGAGUAUUCCUCACUUUGCUGGGAACACCAAGCCCCCCCAGGCUUCAGUGUGGGUGGUAGCAGGCCUGUUCCAUGCACCCUUGGCCUAGGUAGGGAUGUGCAGUUAAUAUUCACUGAAGGAAGAAUGGAGUAAUGAAUGAAUGAACCAUUCUGUGCUUAUGAGGGUACUUUUCUAUUCAGCCAGGCCAUAUAAUUUCCAUAGCUCAGUGUCUGUGCACAAUACUGGGCACAGACAGGCUAUUUCAUGACAGAGAGAUGUAAGGAAAACACAUUAUUUUUUUUUCCCUCUGCUGACUUGACUAGCACAUUGAAUGGAAAAAACGGUGGAGAGGGUCCACUCUGGUUGUUUGUAGAUCUCAGCCUUUCUGGUCUCUCCAAAUUGCUCUCCUCUUCUUUCUGCCAUUUUGUUGUUGUUCUUUUUAAAAUUAAUUUUAUUAAAACCAGUCAAAUUAAAACUGCUUCUGUCAGGGCAUCUCAAGGUCCAUUCAUUAUGGCUUCUUAUCUUGGCAGGCGAUCGACAUGGAAAGGCAGCUCAGCCAUUAUGCACAUACAAAGCCCAUCACUUCCCUACCAGUGGCCAAUUCAUCAAACAUUUAUCUUUUGCCCUCUAAGCACUGUGUCACUUUGCCUGUCACUCCCUAGUCUAGGAUGCUAUGAAAGAUGAAAAAACCAUAGGGGUGGGUAGGGUUCCCCCCCAACUUUUCUCUCUUAGACAGCCCUUGGUUGUUUUUUGUUUUGUUUUAUUUUUAUUUUCUUCAUUGAUAUAUAGUUGAUUUAUAAUGUUGUAUUAGCUUCAGGUGUACAACAAAGUGAAUCAGAUACAUGUACACAUAUAUCCAUUCUUUUUUACCACAUACGUUAUUACAGAACAUUCAGUAGACCUCCCUGUGCUAUGCAGCAGGUUCUUGUUAGUUAUCCAUUAUAUAUACAGCAGUGUGUUUAUGUCAAUCCCCUCGUCCCAGUUCUCCCUCCCCCCCAGGGAUUUCCCCUUUGGUAACCAUAAUUUGAUUGUGAAAUCUGUGAGUUUGUUUCUGUUGUAUAAAUAAGUUCUUUAGUAUCUAGCAUUUUGAUUAGAUUCCAAUCACAUAUUAUAUCAUAUGUGAUAUCAUAUGAUAAUUGUCUUUCUGACUUACUCCACUUAGUAUGAUCAUCUCUAGGUCCAUCCAUGUUGGUGCAAAUGGCAUUAUUUCAUUCUUUUUUAUGUCAGACAGCCCUUGUUAAUCAGAUUUCAUACUUAAGACUUGAAACUCUCCCCACCCCUGCCCUCCGACCCCCAUUUGUUCAACGUGGGAAGGUUGGGAAGGGCCUGCCACGUUCCUACCGAGCUUUUUACUGAAUGGUGGCCUAACUAGGCAGUGAUAAAAAUUUGGUUUAGUUUGGGGCUUUUUCUCUUGCAACCCACUUAAGAACAGAGAAUAUUGCAAAGGGAAGAGAUGUCUGAAAUAAAUGAGUCCAACCUCCCCAGUUUACAGGACUAAGGGGCAGGGUUAUGACUGAAGCAUUGUGGGAAAGGAGCGAGGAAGGCAGAACCAGAAUCAGGGUCCUUGCUCAUUUUGGUCAGAGGUUCUCCCAAGCUGCCUUUUCCCCAUGUUGCCCAAUGUUUCUGAAUACGUAUUAGUAUCUCGUUGAAGGCUUUAGCUACUUGCUUCCUUUUCUGUGGUAACUAAUGACUUCUUUAGAAAAUACAUAUAUUAUUGUUUUUGAAAACAGUCUUUCCAAUAUCAACAACCCUUAUACAUAUCUAGGUUUGUUUUCACAUGCUUUAUCCCGUGUCCUCCUCAUUCCAAUAUCUGCAGAGUAUACAGGUCAGGGAUUUUCCUGCCAAUGUGAUGGAUUCGAAAAUUAAACCCGAGAGGCAUCAUUUUUCCAAAGCCAUACAGCAUAUCCAGGACUUGAAAAUGGAGCUCCCAUCCCCUAAUUAAGCCGUCUUACUUUGUAUGUCUACUUACUGCAUUGGGUUUGGCUUCCCUGAGUUGACAAGAUCAGAACACACCAUUUCUUGGGAAACCACCACCAGCACAUUUUACCUGCCAGAGUAGCAAACCGCCAGAGAGGUAGACAGGGAUGCAAGAACGUUCAUUUAGUCCCAGGAAAAUGCCUUGUCCAUCACUGCUGUGCGUCCACCAGCGUUUGCUUUCUUCUCUUUGUCCCUAGCGCUGUCACUUCUGUUAGGUGUUGGUCCUCAGGGCCCAGAACGUGCCAUUUUAUGAAAUGGAGUGCAAACCUGACAACGUUGUUCUUUGAAAGGCUUUUCAAACACAGAGCUAUGCCUGUUUUGGAAGAAGGAAAAUGGCUCUAGGAGCAAGCCAUUUGCAGAGGUCACUGCAUCUCCCAGGGUUUUUUGUCCUGAAGGAGAUAUAAAGCUAUCUUGUAGUCUGAGACAGAAAACAUGUUUUCACCUUUUCCAGCCAACUGGGACCUCACAGCAUCAGCAGUUGGCAUGUUUUUGCUGGUUUUCCUGGCCUGAUUCCAUUCCAGGGGGCCCUGCCCAUGGGAAGCUGGUCUUUGGGCAAGUAUUUGAUGAAGGCCCCUCUGGAUCCCUAGGGUCUAGAGGCCCAGCCAUGUAAAUGUCUCCUUUUCUGGUUGGUUUGCAAUGAGUAGACACCAUCUGUUGAAUUAAAAAUUCCCUUUAUGGUGGGUGGUGAAAGGCUUGUGUGGAAGAGACACUGUUAUCUUUCAAGCAAACAGUUCAUGAGGCUGAAGAACCGUGUUCUUGGCCCAACAUGUGUUUGCGCAAUGGCUGUGGGAACCUCCCCCACUGGGCGCUGAAUUCCGCCCCAUGGCCCAUGGCGACGUGCACACAUACCGCAGUGGCCGCACACCAUGUCCGCGCCCUUACAUCUCCCCAGUAAAGAAAACCUCCAUUUAUAGACCCCGCCAAACAAACUCGCUCCUUAGACUCUUAAAAACAAACAAGAUCCUGAGGCCACAGGCUCCAUGCGUGCAUGUGUGGUUUUGUAAAAUCUCAAGCCGUGAAUCAAAAUAAUUUUAGAGACAGAGUCAAAGCCCAGAACCAAGCCCUGUCGCCAGGGUAGCAGAAACACAAGAAAGACUGGCUGAGAGGAGACAGCCAGAUGGGCAGAGUGAUGGGAACAAGAGGUGGGAGCCUCUGGCAUGUUUGGAGGGAAGGUACCUGGUUCCUCACCUCUGGCCUUAGGGACUCAGUUGCUGUAAUAACUUCAGGACAGUCGAAGAAGGAAUGGGCCAAAAGGGGGACUGUGAUAGCUCCCAUUUUUUUCCUUUCCAUAUCUAGAGCUUGUGUUGCCCACAUUGCUUCAUGUACACUGUCUUGUAUGAUUUCUCCUUAUUCCAAGUUCAACUUCUUUCUAUCUUCCCAUAGAAGAUAAACUCCCUGGGAGCAGGUGCCAUGGCUUGUGCAUCUAUCAGUUCCCCAGGUGGAAGUGCUUGUUGAGAACCUGCCAUAGUGGAAGCGGAUGUCACAGACCUACACUCUGGUGCUCAAUAAGCUUUCUGGAAUGUCAAUUACUUGAGUGCCAAAAUUAAGUUCUCUCUUCUUACAGUCUCUCACCACCAAUUUGGCGUAACGUAUGUAAGUAGAGGCUCAAAAGACGAGAAUUAAAUUGAGUCGAGACAUGGCUCAAGCCCAUCUUCUCUUUGAAGCCCUCCUAACCCAGCUUUCUCCCUCCAGCUUUACUCCUCCUCAGAGUAGUGCUUACCACCCCAGCAUAACCCCCUACCCUGCAUCGUGUGGUGACUUCUCCCCUGUCUGUAUCUACUGGGUAACACUAGGGGACCAUGACUUAGCCAUCUUUGUAGCCCCAGAGUUUAACAGAGUGCUAGGCACCAAGUUGGCACUCAAAAACAUUUUUGUGAAUGAAUGAAUGAAUGAGCUAUGGAGGUACAUACCACAGGGACCAUUAGCUGGUAUAUUUCAAUCCAGAUCUACCUAAUGCAUGCUUAACCUCAUGGGGGCCAUAUUAAAAACUAAAUUAUAAGAACUAGUUCUUCAGGGGAUUGUUCUAGGAGGGGGUGGAAGGGAGUAUAGCUAUAGAUAGAAAGGCAAAAGAAUUUGAAGACCAUCUAGGUUGAUCAUUAUAAUUGAGAACAUCCAGGAAUGGAUUAAAAGCUAUACAUGUUGUUUGGAUAAAGGAUGCAGCAAUGGCGGAUUUCCAUUUCUAGACUUCCACCAGAAAUUAUUUAGACAAAAUUUAGCUUAGUUCCGUUGAGGGAAGCCUGUAUUGAAAGUCCAAAGGUUCUAGACUUGGCUUGGUUACUGUGUAUGGUUUUGGGUGAGGCACUUGAACUCUCUGAGCCUUAGUCACCUUCUGUCAAGUGAAGGAUGGAACCCUUAAAAUUCUGCUAUGACUCUAAGUUUGUGAGUCUGUGAAGAAGGCUGUGAUGGAGUGUAUUACAUGCAGAUAGAGCUGUGGCUCUGACAUCUAGUUUUCUGUCUAUAAGAGGGUGUAGUGUGUUGACAUGUGCCUUUUUAAUUAGGGGGAUGUCUCCAUAGUUAGGGAAGCAUUAAAGAGGCCUUGCACAAUCCCAGUUAGAAGAUCAGAAUAAGGUACUGAGUUUACUGUGAUGGGAGAGACAGAGCUAGAACACUCUGCUGCCCUCUCUCCAUCAGGCUGAGUCAUAAGGGGCCCUUCUGGCAGGGAAGACGUGACUCUUGGCAGUCCUUGUAAACUGUGGUUGCAGCAGGGGAACUCCAGUCAGAGAAGCAUAGUAUCUGGCCAGAAUUUUAGAGGUCACUGAAUCUCAUCUUCUACUCUAUGCAGAAAUUACCUGUAAACAUCCGUAAUGUUUCUAGUCUCAGAUCACAUACAUAUUGUGAUUCAUAAGGCAGCUCAAUCCUUUGGCAAACAGUUCCCUAUAUUUAGAAGUUUGUAGAAAGUAUUGAUUCAAGAGCCCUCCUCCCAACUUACAUAAUUU
rnacentral:lncRNA from 1 species